rnacentral:rRNA from 1 species
CUAUGGUUUAUUGGAUCGUACCCGUCACAUGGAUAACUGUAAUAACUCUAGAGCUAAUACAUGCCACGAAGCCCUGACGUGUGCCUCCGGGUACAGGGAUGGGUGCACUUAUUAGAUCAGAAACCAACCGAGUCAGGGCCGUCCUCACCUGGGGACUGGUCAGGGCUUGUUGUCGUUCUGGUGACUCUGGAUAAUUGUUACAGAUCGCAGUCGGCCUUGCGUCGGCGACGGGUCCUUCAAAUGUCUGCCCUAUCAACUUUCGAUGGUAGGCAAUCUGCCUACCAUGGUGAUAACGGGUAACGGGGAAUCAGGGUUCGAUUCCGGAGAGGGAGCCUGAGAAACGGCUACCACUUCCAAGGGAGGCAGCAGGCGCGCAAAUUACCCACUCCCGGUACGGGGAGGUGGUGACGAAAAAUACCGAUGCGGGACUCUUCAAGAGGCUCCGUAAUCGGAAUGAGUGAACUCUAAAUCCUUUCACGAGGAUCAAUUGGAGGGCAAGUCUGGUGCCAGCAGCCGCGGUAACUCCAGCUCCAAUAGCGUAUAUUAAAGUUGCUGCAGUUAAAAAGCUCGUAGUUGGAUCUCGGUAUCACUGUUGCCCGCCAUUGCUUGGCCGGAUGGGUGCGGGGCGGAGCGGCCGAGUGCCAGUUCCUGCCUUGGUGCCCGACUGUUGUCGAGUUGGUGCGGCGGCGGUGCCACCUUUUAGCCAUGUCUGUGGUGAAAUAUCCACAGGUGUAGGCGAGUGUCGGGCGGUGCCCUGCACCAGUAGGGUCCGUCGGCUCGUCUGCAUGCCUUUGGAUGCCCUUCAAAAGGUGUCUGUGGGCGGAUGGCACGUUUACUUUGAACAAAUUUGAGUGCUCAAACCAGGCCGCUGUAGCCUGAAAAGUUUUGCAUGGAAUAAUGGAAUAGGACUUCGGUUCUAUUUUGUUGGUUUUCGGAUCCGAAGUAAUGAUCAAAAGAGACAGGCGGGGACGUUUGUAUGGUUGCGCUAGAGGUGAAAUUCAUGGACCGUAACCAGACAGACUAAAGCGAAAGCAUUCGUCAAGCAUGUUUUCAUUGGCCAUGAGCGAAAGUCAGAGGCUCGAAGACGAUCAGAUACCGUCCUAGUUCUGACCAUAAACGAUGCCAACUGACGAUCCGUGGUGGUAGUUUAAUAACCGUCCCCACGGGCAGCCCCCGGGAAACCUUUAAGUCUAUGGGUUCCGGGGGAAGUAUGGUUGCAAAGCUGAAACUUAAAGGAAUUGACGGAAGGGCACCACCAGGAGUGGAGCCUGCGGCUUAAUUUGACUCAACACGGGAAAACUCACCCGGGCCGGACACUGUGAGGAUUGACAGAUUGAGAGCUCUUUCUUGAUUUGGUGGUUGGUGGUGCAUGGCCGUUCUUAGUUGGUGGAGCGAUUUGUCUGGUUAAUUCCGAUAACGAACGAGACUCUAGCCUGCUAAUUAGUGCGCCUGUCCUCUGUUCCUGUGUAGGCGGCUCUCAGCGCUACUGCCUUGCUAUGCUGGUCUGCCUGUGUGCGGCGUAGUCAGGGUUGGUCGCCUCGCCUGUGUGUGUGCGCGCGCGUCGCCAUCUGGCUGGCAAAGCGUCUGUUGGCUCGGUUCGCCGCGGUCGACGACGAUGGUCGGUCGGUGUGUGUGUGUGUGCGYGCGUGCGUGCGGGUGUUGGGUGGCUGGCUAGUCUGGCUGUGUCUGUGUGCGGUGGGCUGGUUUAGGCGGUGGAGUCGGGGUUUGCUUCCGGGUACGGCGCAGGUGUCUACUUCUUAGAGGGACAAGCAUAUGCAAAUGCACGAGAUUGAGCAAUAACAGGUCUGUGAUGCCCUUAGAUGUCCGGGGCCGCACGCGCGCUACAAUGACGGUGCCAACGAGUCUGACCUCCUGGCCCGAAAGGGUUGGGCAAACUGGUCAAUCACCGUCAUGUCAGGGAUCGGGGCUUGGAAUUGUUCCCCGUGAACCAGGAAUUCCUAGUAAGUGCAAGUCAUAAGCUUGCGCUGAUUACGUCCCUGCCCUUUGUACACACCGCCCGUCGCUACUACCGAUUGAAUGGUUUAGUAAGGUCCUUGGAUCGGUGCCAUUGUAGUGGCUGCCGAAAGGCAUGUCCACUCGACAGGUGCUGAGAAGACGACCAAACUUGAUCAUUUAGA